rnacentral:rRNA from 1 species
AUUGAACGCUGGCGGCAUGCCUUACACAUGCAAGUCGAACGGCAGCACGGGUGCUUGCACCUGGUGGCGAGUGGCGAACGGGGGAGUAAUACAUCGGAACAUGUCCUGUAGUGGGGGAUAGCCCGGCGAAAGCCGGAUUAAUACCGCAUCCGAUCAACGGAUGAAAGCGGGGGCACUUCGGGCCCCGCGCUCGCGGGUUGGCCGAUGGCUGAUUAGCUAGUUGGUGGGGUAAAGGCCUACCAAGGCGACGAUCAGUAGCUGGUCUGAGAGGAUGACCAGCCACACUGGAACUGAGACACGGCCCAGACUCCUACGGGAGGCAGCAGUGGGGAAUUUUGGACAAUGGGCGAAAGCCUGAUCCAGCAAUGCCGCGUGUGUGAAGAAGGCCUUCGGGUUGUAAAGCACUUUUGUUCGGAAAGAAAAGCUGGGCGUUAAUACCGUCGUGUUAUGACGGUACCGGAAGAAUAAGCACCGGCUAACUACGUG